rnacentral:rRNA from 2 species
AGACCCGAAACCCGGUGAUCUAGCCAUGGGCAGGUUGAAGGUUGGGUAACACUAACUGGAGGACCGAACCGACUAAUGUUGAAAAAUUAGCGGAUGACCUGUGGCUGGGGGUGAAAGGCCAAUCAAACCGGGAGAUAGCUGGUUCUCCCCGAAAGCUAUUUAGGUAGCGCCUCGUGAAUUCAUCUCCGGGGGUAGAGCACUGUUUCGGCUAGGGGGCCAUCCCGGCUUACCAACCCGAUGCAAACUGCGAAUACCGGAGAAUGUUAUCACGGGAGACACACGGCGGGUGCUAACGUCCGUCGUGAAGAGGGAAACAACCCAGACCGCCAGCUAAGGUCCCAAAGUCAUGGUUAAGUGGGAAACGAUGUGGGAAGGCCCAGACAGCCAGGAUGUUGGCUUAGAAGCAGCCAUCAUUUAAAGAAAGCGUAAUAGCUCACUGGUCGAGUCGGCCUGCGCGGAAGAUGUAACGGGGCUAAACCAUGCACCGAAGCUGCGGCAGCGACACUCAGGUGUUGUUGGGUAGGGGAGCGUUCUGUAAGCCUGUGAAGGUGGCCUGUGAGGGUUGCUGGAGGUAUCAGAAGUGCGAAUGCUGACAUAAGUAACGAUAAAGCGGGUGAAAAGCCCGCUCGCCGGAAGACCAAGGGUUCCUGUCCAACGUUAAUCGGGGCAGGGUGAGUCGACCCCUAAGGCGAGGCCGAAAGGCGUAGUCGAUGGGAAACGGGUUAAUAUUCCCGUACUUGGUGUUACUGCGAAGGGGGGACGGAGAAGGCUAUGUUGGCCGGGCGACGGUUGUCCCGGUUUAAGCGUGUAGGUGUGUGUUCCAGGUAAAUCCGGUUCACUUUAACACUGAGGCGUGAUGACGAGGCACUACGGUGCUGAAGCAACAAAUGCCCUGCUUCCAGGAAAAGCCUCUAAGCAUCAGGUAACAUCAAAUCGUACCCCAAACCGACACAGGUGGUCAGGUAGAGAAUACCAAGGCGCUUGAGAGAACUCGGGUGAAGGAACUAGGCAAAAUGGUGCCGUAACUUCGGGAGAAGGCACGCUGACACGUAGGUGAAGUGAUUUACUCAUGGAGCUGAAGUCAGUCGAAGAUACCAGCUGGCUGCAACUGUUUAUUAAAAACACAGCACUGUGCAAACACGAAAGUGGACGUAUACGGUGUGACGCCUGCCCGGUGCCGGAAGGUUAAUUGAUGGGGUCAGCGCAAGCGAAGCUCCUGAUCGAAGCCCCGGUAAACGGCGGCCGUAACUAUAACGGUCCUAAGGUAGCGAAAUUCCUUGUCGGGUAAGUUCCGACCUGCACGAAUGGCGUAAUGAUGGCCAGGCUGUCUCCACCCGAGACUCAGUGAAAUUGAACUCGCUGUGAAGAUGCAGUGUACCCGCGGCAAGACGGAAAGACCCCGUGAACCUUUACUAUAGCUUGACACUGAACAUUGAGCCUUGAUGUGUAG